UUAAGCGACUAAGCGUACACGGUGGAUGCCCUGGCAGUCAGAGGCGAUGAAGGACGUGCUAAUCUGCGAAAAGCGUCGGUAAGGUGAUAUGAACCGUUAUAACCGGCGAUGUCCGAAUGGGGAAACCCAGUGCAAUUCGUCACACUAUCGUUAACUGAAUACAUAGGUUAACGAGGCGAACCGGGGGAACUGAAACAUCUAAGUACCCCGAGGAAAAGAAAUCAACCGAGAUUCCCCCAGUAGCGGCGAGCGAACGGGGAGCAGCCCAGAGUCUGAAUCAGCUUGUGUGUUAGUGGAACGGUCUGGAAAGUCCGACGGUACAGGGUGAUAGUCCCGUACACCAAAAUGCACAGGCUGUGAACUCGAAGAGUAGGGCGGGACACGUGGUAUCCUGUCUGAAUAUGGGGGGACCAUCCUCCAAGGCUAAAUACUCCUGACUGACCGAUAGUGAACCAGUACCGUGAGGGAAAGGCGAAAAGAACCCCGGCGAGGGGAGUGAAAAAGAACCUGAAACCGUGUACGUACAAGCAGUGGGAGCACCUUCGGGUGUGACUGCGUACCUUUUGUAUAAUGGGUCAGCGACUUAUAUUCUGUAGCAAGGUUAACCGUAUAGGGGAGCCGCAGGGAAACCGAGUCUUAACUGGGCGUUAAGUUGCAGGGUAUAGACCCGAAACCCGGUGAUCUAGCCAUGGGCAGGUUGAAGGUUGGGUAACACUAACUGGAGGACCGAACCGACUAAUGUUGAAAAAUUAGCGGAUGACUUGUGGCUGGGGGUGAAAGGCCAAUCAAACCGGGAGAUAGCUGGUUCUCCCCGAAAGCUAUUUAGGUAGCGCCUCGUGAACUCAUCUUCGGGGGUAGAGCACUGUUUCGGCUAGGGGGUCAUCCCGACUUACCAACCCGAUGCAAACUACGAAUACCGAAGAAUGUUAUCACGGGAGACACACGGCGGGUGCUAACGUCCGUCGUGAAGAGGGAAACAACCCAGACCGCCAGCUAAGGUCCCAAAGUCAUGGUUAAGUGGGAAACGAUGUGGGAAGGCACAGACAGCCAGGAUGUUGGCUUAGAAGCAGCCAUCAUUUAAAGAAAGCGUAAUAGCUCACUGGUCGAGUCGGCCUGCGCGGAAGAUGUAACGGGGCUAAACCAUGCACCGAAGCUGCGGCAGCGACACUAUGUGUUGUUGGGUAGGGGAGCGUUCUGUAAGCCUGCGAAGGUGUGCUGUGAGGCAUGCUGGAGGUAUCAGAAGUGCGAAUGCUGACAUAAGUAACGAUAAAGCGGGUGAAAAGCCCGCUCGCCGGAAGACCAAGGGUUCCUGUCCAACGUUAAUCGGGGCAGGGUGAGUCGACCCCUAAGGCGAGGCCGAAAGGCGUAGUCGAUGGGAAACAGGUUAAUAUUCCUGUACUUGGUGUUACUGCGAAGGGGGGACGGAGAAGGCUAUGUUAGCCGGGCGACGGUUGUCCCGGUUUAAGCAUGUAGGCUGAUUGUCCAGGCAAAUCCGGAUAAUCAAGGCUGAGGUGUGAUGACGAGGCACUACGGUGCUGAAGUAACAAAUGCCCUGCUUCCAGGAAAAGCCUCUAAGCAUCAGGUAACAUCAAAUCGUACCCCAAACCGACACAGGUGGUCAGGUAGAGAAUACCAAGGCGCUUGAGAGAACUCGGGUGAAGGAACUAGGCAAAAUGGUGCCGUAACUUCGGGAGAAGGCACGCUGGUGUGUAGGUGAAGUCCCUGCGGAUGGAGCUGAGACCAGUCGAAGAUACCAGCUGGCUGCAACUGUUUAUUAAAAACACAGCACUGUGCAAACACGAAAGUGGACGUAUACGGUGUGACGCCUGCCCGGUGCCGGAAGGUUAAUUGAUGGGGUUAUCCGUAAGGAGAAGCUCUUGAUCGAAGCCCCGGUAAACGGCGGCCGUAACUAUAACGGUCCUAAGGUAGCGAAAUUCCUUGUCGGGUAAGUUCCGACCUGCACGAAUGGCGUAAUGAUGGCCAGGCUGUCUCCACCCGAGACUCAGUGAAAUUGAACUCGCUGUGAAGAUGCAGUGUACCCGCGGCAAGACGGAAAGACCCCGUGAACCUUUACUAUAGCUUGACACUGAACAUUGAGCCUUGAUGUGUAGGAUAGGUGGGAGGCUUUGAAGCGUGGACGCCAGUCUGCGU
rnacentral:rRNA from 1 species